rnacentral:tRNA from 1 species
GGUUAUGGCUCAGCGGUAGAGUGCUUGCCUCGCACAUGCAAGGUCCUGGGUUCGAUCCUCAGCACCA